CGAGGAAAGAAGAAAAAUCACUUCUCACUUCAUGAACUACCUUUGAAAAUGAAGACCUAGGACAACAUACUCUCAGUAUGUCUUUUACUGAGAUUUUGACAUUUAUGUGUUUGACAUGCUGCUGUUCCAUUUGCCAAGUUGACGCCACCUAGUUGAUGAAAGGCUUGCUUAAGUCAGCACAGCCCACAGAAGGACACUGACUUUCAGUUGAUGAUGAAACUAUAGACAGGCCUUGCCCAGCAGAGAACAGUGUUUGGCAAAUAUCCUUUCCCAGAGUCCAUCUUUAAUUAAAAAAAAUUGCAUAGUGCUACUGGUGGGAGCUUUUCACUUGAUUAGGGUCUACAACAGAUCACUUCUCAAUGAACUCUGUAGCAGCAAAUAUUCUUGGAAGAUGAUGCAGACAGGUUAAUGGCAAACAUACAUACUUAGUUGAAAUCUAUAGAGG
rnacentral:lncRNA from 1 species